CAAUAGCGUAUAUUAAAGUUGUUGCGGUUAAAAAGCUCGUAGUUGGAUUUCUGCCGAGGACGACCGGUCCGCCCUUUGGGUGUGUAUCUGGCUCUUUCUUGGCAUCUUCUUGGUGAACGUUGCUGCACUUGACUGUGUGGAGCGCUACCCAGGACUUUUACUUUGAGGAAAUUAGAGUGUUUCAAGCAGGCAUACGCCUUGAAUACAUUAGCAUGGAAUAAUAAGAUAGGACCUCGGUUCUAUUUUGUUGGUUUCUAGAGCUGAGGUAAUGAUUAAUAGGGAUAGUUGGGGGCAUUCGUAUUUAACUGUCAGAGGUGAAAUUCUUGGAUUUGUUAAAGACGGACUACUGCGAAANCANNNGCCAAGGAUGUUUUCAUNGA
rnacentral:rRNA from 1 species